ACUCCUACGGGAGGCAGCAGUAAGGAAUAUUGCCCCNUUUNAGCGAAAGCCUGACGCAGCGACGCCGCGUGGGGGAUGAANGUCUUCGGAUUGUGAACCCCUUUCGGGAGGGAAGAUGGAGCGAGCAAUCGUUCGGACGGUACCUCCAGAAGCAGCCACGGCCAACUUCGUGCCAGCAGCCGCGGUAAUACGAAGGUGGCAUGCGUUGUUCGGAUUCACUGGGCGUACAGGGUGUGUAGGCGGUAUGGUAAGCCUUCUGUUAAAGCUUCGGGCCCAACCCGGAAAGCGCAGAGGGUACUGCCAGGCUAGAGGGUGGGAGAGGAGCGCGGAAUUCCCG
rnacentral:rRNA from 1 species